UGAAAUAAACUGCUGAUUUUCCCCUCCUCCAACCUUUUGCAUCUUGCUGUUUAAUGAGUCCUCAGAUGUUAAUAACUGCUCCCCUUGCCCUCAGAAGAAGGGAUCUAUAGGAUCUGAGCAAUCAGUUUCAGAAAUAUCCAGGGCACGUUCUUAGCCAACUCUUCACUGGUAAAAUGCUCUGGAGUGACAGCUCCUAGGAUCGAGUGAGUCCAUGGAUGUUGCAAGACACUUCUAUUUGAAAAGGCUGUGCACAGCAUUGGGGAGGGAUGAAAGACAAAUUGGAUGCAUUAUUGGAUAUCAAAAGUGCAACGCUGGAGCCUUGGUCUACAGGAACAGAAACAAGACUUGCCUGGCACUGAGGCAUUAUCCCUCCAAAAAACAAUCUAAACUGACCAACACCCUGGAUUCGC